AUCACUUCUCUGGCCUUUUGGCUAAGAUCAAGUGUAGUAUCUGUUCUUAUCAGAAAGAACACAAAAGGAUGUCCACAGGAGUUCACCAGCACCAAAU
rnacentral:snRNA from 1 species